rnacentral:rRNA from 1 species
GCAGGAGGAUAGGGUAAGCGCGGUAUUGGAUAUCCGCGUCCAAGCAGUUAGGCUGGGAAAUAGGCAAAUCCGUUUCCCGUAAAGGCUGAGCUGUGAUGGCGAGCGAAAUUUAGUAGCGAAGUUCCUGAUUCCACACUGCCAAGAAAAGCCUCUAGCGAGGUGAGAGGUGCCCGUACCGCAAACCGACACAGGUAGGCGAGGAGAGAAUCCUAAGGUGAUCGAGAGAACUCUCGUUAAGGAACUCGGCAAAAUGACCCCGUAACUUCGGGAGAAGGGGUGCUUCUUAGGGUGUUAAAGCCCCGAGAAGCCGCAGUGAAUAGGCCCAGGCGAC